CGCUAGUAAUCGCGAAUCAGCAUGUCGCGGUGAAUACGUUCCCGGGCCUUGUACACACCGCCCGUCACACCAUGGGAGUUGGAAGCACCCGAAGUCGGUGACCUGACCGUAAGGAGGGAGCCGCCGAAGGUGAAGCCAGCGACUGGGGUGAAGUCGUAACAAGGUAGC
rnacentral:rRNA from 1 species